UACACCCCACCCCACCCCAAUCCCUCCAGCCGCCACUGCCCCACCCAUGUUUCUCCUCCACCCCCUCCUCUCUCUCCUCUCCUCCCUCCUCAUCCGCGCGCGCACAUCACCCAGCGCUCGCGUGCUCGCCUCCCGGACCAGUCACUGCCGCGCCGCUGGGGCUCGUCCGCCGCGGGUUUCCACGGGGAAGGAGCCGCGACGGGGGUAGGCCCCAGGCGGUGCACACUUCAUGGGGAGGCAAGGAACUAGGAGGCGAUGGGGUCGGAUCUGGUGGUGCUAGGUCGGAGCUCGAUCCCCCGCCUCCCGAACCAGCCGUCGCCGCGUCGCUGGGGCUCGUCCGCCGCGGGUUUCCAUGGGGAAUCACCACAACAGCAGCACGCCUCCCUCCUUCCUCCUCAUCGCCAGAGCCGCCGCACCUCUCCUUCCUCCUCGCUCUCACCCUUGCCGCGGCGCGCAUCCCUCCCCUUUCGAUCUAAUUUCAUUCUUGUUUCACAUGUUGGUUUGGUUGGCAAGAGACGUUGCAGCGCCGACUGCAGUAGCCAGGGUUGGCGUUGGUGAUGUCUGUAGGUAUUUUCGUCCUUGCUAGUCACACAUUUCCUAGGUUAUGGGAUUGGAUAUCCGUUUUCUAAGAUUCUUAGCUGAUAAGUAUAUUGUGCGGAAAAGUCUCUACAGAAUGAUGUUGUGCACAUCCAAAUCCAAGCAAUCUGGAUACUCCAUGGGGCAAAGUUGAAGCUUUGUACAUCACUUCUCUCCCUUUGUUUAUUAACGUUUCUUCAUGUUUGGAAGUGAUAUGGGUUUCCAUGUACUUGAUAGAUGCAUUCCUUAUCUUUAUGUGUUUCAUCUAUGUAUAUAUGUUUCUGCCCAUAAAUGUAUUUAUGAGCUGACUCCAUUUUUUACCGCUUUUCUGUGGCAAUUUGAAAAGGACCCUUCCAUGGUGCUCAGCCACCGUCCGAUUUCGAGGGAGAAUAGGAGACACCGACGAAAGCGAGUGUCCUAGCGGCGAACCCAAGGAUGCGUGGUGAUUAUGCCAGCUCCAUGCUCCAGUUCUUCUAUUGGGGGUUCGCUCAAUUCAUGUGCUUGGGAUUUGUUUUGAUUGACGGACCUUAAAGCUAAUGCAAUAAUGCAUGAACUUGCCAAAAGAAAACCAAAUAUGCACCAUGUCGAUAUGCUUCAUGACGAAACCACUUGCUUUCAUAUGUAUUGGACUACUGCAUCAUCGUCUUCGUCAAUGGGAGGAUGAAAUCAGUAGUAGCACCAGCCCGCUAGCGAGGAAGGCUGCUCGGAUCUGCUGUCGUGCCCACCUACAACUUCUGUAGGUUGUUCGACCACUUAGAGAACUUCUGGUGGCCAUAAGCAAUCUUAGUUGCUCACUGUGAUAAUCUGAAUGUAUGCAGUUUCCCUCUUUGCAUGUGUGCUUCCGUGUCUUUCCUGGUAUAUUCUCAGUCUAUGGAAUGGUCAUAUUAGGCAUGUAGUUUAUUUUAUUUUUUGUAUAAAAGCUUGGUACUAACAUACAAAUAUGAUUAUUUUUUCAAUUUCUCAAUGUGGUGACCAUAUUUUCAACUAUGAAAAUGCUUCCUUAACUGGUCUA